UACGGGGGGAGCAAGCGUUGUUCGGAUUUACUGGGCGUAAAGGGCGCGUAGGCGGUCGUGACAAGUCACUUGUGAAAUCUCCGGGCUUAACUCGGAACGGUCAAGUGAUACUGUCGGACUAGAGUACAGAAAGGGCAACUGGAAUUCUCGGUGUAGCGGUGAAAUGCGUAGAUAUCGAGAGGAACACCUGCGGCGAAGGCGGGUUGCUGGGCUGAUACUGACGCUGAGGCGCGAAAGCCAGAGGAGCGAACGGG
rnacentral:rRNA from 1 species